rnacentral:rRNA from 1 species
AUACGUAGGGGGCGAGCGUUGUCCGGAAUUAUUGGGCGUAAAGGGCGUGUAGACGGUCACAUAAGUUACAGGUGAAAGCCCAUUUUUCAAGGAUGGAACUGCCUGUAAGACUGUAAGACUUGAGUGCAGGAGAGGGAAGCGGAAUUCCAAGUGUAGCGGUGAAAUGCGUAGAGAUCGGGAGGAACACCAGUGGCGAAGGCGGGUAACUGGACUGCAACUGACGCUGAGGCGCGAAAGUGUGGGGAGCAAAUAGGAUUAGAUACCCUGGUAGUCCACACUGUAAACGAUGAAUGCUAGGUGUAAGAGGUAUCGACCCCUUUUGUGCCGGAGUCAACACAAUAAGCAUUCCGCCUGGGGAGUACGGCCGCAAGGUUGAAACUCAAAGGAAUUGGCGGGG